rnacentral:rRNA from 1 species
GAUGAACGCUGGCGGCGUGCCUAAUACAUGCAAGUCGAGCGAACAGACGAGGAGCUUGCUCCUCUGACGUUAGCGGCGGACGGGUGAGUAACACGUGGAUAACCUACCUAUAAGACUGGGAUAACUUCGGGAAACCGGAGCUAGUACCGGAUAAUAUAUUGAACCGCAUGGUUCAAUAGUGAAAGACGGUUUUGCUGUCACUUAUAGAUGGAUCCGCGCCGCAUUAGCUAGUUGGUAAGGUAACGGCUUACCAAGGCAACGAUGCGUAGCCGACCUGAGAGGGUGAUCGGCCACACUGGAACUGAGACACGGUCCAGACUCCUACGGGAGGCAGCAGUAGGGAAUCUUCCGCAAUGGGCGAAAGCCUGACGGAGCAACGCCGCGUGAGUGAUGAAGGUCUUCGGAUCGUAAAACUCUGUUAUUAGGGAAGAACAAAUGUGUAAGUAACUAUGCACGUCUUGACGGUACCUAAUCAGAAAGCCACGGCUAACUACGU